rnacentral:rRNA from 1 species
UACGUAGGGGGGCAAGCGUUGUCCGGAUUUAUUGGGCGUAAAGAGCGUGUAGGCGGCCAAGCAGGUCAGCUGUGAAAACUCGAGGCUCAACCUCGAGACGUCGGCGGAAACCAUCUGGCUAGAGUCCGGAAAGAGGAGAGUGGAAUUCCUGGUGGUAGCGGUGAAAUGCGCAGAUAUCAGGAAGAACACCCGUGGCGAAGGCGGCUCUCUGGGACGGUACUGACGCUGAGACGCGAAAGCGUGGGGAGCGAACAGG